CCCGGGUUUACUCAGCCUCGCGCCGUCUCCCCUCGCCGGGUAAUGUGAUCCGCGACCCUCUAGGUCAGAGGACCCCUCCCCUAGGAAUGUGGCUUUGGGCUCCGGCUCCGUCCGUCCUUGGGUUAGAAUCCAAACUGCGGACUGUGACUUCCCCGAGCAGGGCGGCGACCCCAGGCGGCCGGACAAGGUAGAAGGCGGGCGCCACGCUGGCUCGGGGCUGAGAGAGGAGGGGGAUGUCCAGAGUGGCUCGGAGGCGACUAGGGCGCAGGAAGUAGGAGGCGACCGUGCGCCGGCUGCGGACCUCAGCGAGCAUCCCGCGGGCAGCGGCUUUCUCGCCGCUAGACAAGCCGCGCGUGCUCUCCGCCCCUCCCAUUUGCUUCGGGCGAGCGACACCUAGCUCAGGUGACCACCCCCCUUGCGCUCUGAAGUACCAGCUUCUUGCUGCCCUAGUCCUGCCAGAAAUAGAGGUUCCUGUCCAAGAUGCCACCUGUUACCUGGGCCAAGAGGACCCGCCUAAUUCUCGUGCUCUCAGCCUGCCUCUUAUGUCCUGAUGUCCAUCUGGAUGAAUUUAUGAGAUGCAAAUCAUGUGACUCCCCCUUAAGUCUUCUGCAUCACACUUGAAAGGAGCCUAGGUUCCCAGCCACGGCCUGCCACCUCAAUGCCAGGCCAGCUCAAUGCCCUUGCACAGUCUUUCCUUCCUCCAUGAUGAGGCCAGGGUGCUCUCCCUCUCCCCUGCAUCACCCCAGGCUUUCCUCCCCUGAGAAAACUGUUUCCCUCAAUCUGCCAGUGAUCGUCUUGUCAUCCUUCAAGCCUCUGUUGGCAUCACGCCUCCAAGAGGACCUUUGUGAUGCCCUUAAAUGGAACAGUUCCCUCUAUCCUACGAAUGUCCUUGGGAAUUGUCUUAUCAAUUUGUUUUAUUAUCAUCUGACCCACUCACAUCUGUGUUGUACUAUCUUGCGAGUGGGGCCAUGAUAUAGAUACUUAGUGAAUAUUCGGGGAAUUAAUGACUUGCUGUUAUCAGCACAAGGCGAUAAGGAGAGGGGGUGCUGAUGUCUGAAGUGGACUGACCGACCACCUCUUCAGAUUGCUCCGAUCCUAUUCAGUUAGGGACCCAAUGGGAACCGUGUUGUGGGGCUCCUCUUGGUUCUCUUCUGUUUCUGAGCUAGUUGACACCAGCAGCACCGAUUCCCUCCUCGCAUCCCUCUUCCUUCCAUGUCUUCUCUCUCCUCCAUCACCCACGGCCACACCUGAUUAGUUUGAAUGCCAAGUCAGUCUUUAGGCCUCUCUUCAAUUACAUUGUCUAGGCAUCUCUUUCUGGGAUUCAAAUCUUUACACCCGAAAGGAAUUCCUGAGUCUCUUUACAACACUCUCAUGAUUUCCCCCAGUGGGAGAUCUUGGCCUACAACAUCUUGGUAUCUCGCACAGACACGUCACACCCAGUGUUCUUACAACUCAGUGUCUUCCUUUUGCUCCUCCUCGUCUUCUUCUUCUUCCUCUCUUUUUUCUUCUUCUACUUCCUGUCUUCCUCUUUUGGGAGCUGGCUCUAAUUUACACAGGCAGGCCAGAAACUUGCUAUCUAGCCAGCAAUAACCUCAGCUCCUGUUCUUCCUACCUCUGCCUCCUCCCAAGUGGUGAGAUUACACAUAUCUGCCACCAGGCUCACCUGACUGCAGUUCAGUUCAGUCCGUUCCUUUGACUGGUUGGAGUGUACCAUAUGUGUGCAUGGGCACAUCUCUACGUACACAUGGUAAGGCAAAGAAGAACAUCAUAGAUGUUUCCAUUAGACUGCCUGGCAGGAAGCUUCCAGAACCUGCAUGUCUCUGCUCUCCAACACCAGAGUUAUAGACACACACCCUAUUCCCGGCUUUUUAUCUGUGCCUGCUGGUGAUGUGAACUCGGACCGCCAUGUUCGUACAGCAAAUACUCUUACCCACUGAGCCGUCUUGUGGGAGUCAGUUCUGUCCUACCAGAGGGAUCCUCGGGAGCAAUAUCAGGUCAAGAAGCUUGACAACAGGCACCUCUACCAACUGGGCCAUCUUGCCAGCCCUCUUUUUGGUUUUGUUUGUUCGAGACAAGCUCUCACUAUGGAAGUCAGGCUAGCCUGGAACUCAGUCACCCUGCCUCACUCCUCUCAGUACGACCUGUAGCUUCACUCCCAGCUCUUUGACCUCUGUUCUAAGAGUCUACCUGGCUCUCACCUUUGUGUCCAAUACCUUAGAUUCUCCACUCGCUUCUGAACAUGCCAUUCCCAUGUUCCUGUAGCAGCUGUGGGGAGUUGCUGCUGUCUCUCUGCCUUAUUUGGCAGUGCAGUGUUCCUACACAGAAGCCAUAAUUUGUUCCCUGCUUUUUUUUUAAGAAGGCAUUUUCACCUAACGUAAUAGGUCAUUUGUUUACACCUGCAGAGGAAGAUAGGCCUCAUUAUAGCCCUAAAGUUGUUUCAAGAAUAAUUCUGCGAAUAGGGACUGAGUAGAUGGCUCAUCAGUUAAAGCAAGCAUGAAGGAUAGGGUCACCAGAAACGCAGAUAACGCCCAGUGGGCACGGUAGCCUAUGUGUAAUUCUGUCCUCAGAAGGUGGGGACAGGAAGUCUAUGAAGAAACAAUGGAGCCAGACUUGGUAGAGCACACCUUUAAUCCCAGCACUCAAGAGGGAGAAGCAGGAGAAGCUUUGUAGAUUCCAGGACAGCCUGGUUUCCAUAGUGUGUUCCAGGUCAGCAGGAGCUACCUAGUGAGACCCUGUCAGAGAGAGAGAGAGAUAGAGAGAGAGGGAGGGGGAGGACUGGUUGUUGGUGGCACACACCUUUCAUCCCAGCACUUGGGAGACUGAGGCAGGCAGAUACCUUUGAGUCUAAGGCCAGCCUGGUCUACAGAAUGGGUUCCAGGACAGCCAGGACUACACAGCAAGAAACCUUGUCUAGAGAAAGAAGUACAAGAUGGCUCACUGGUUAAAGGUGCUUGCCGCCAGACCAUACAACCCUGACAACUUGAGUUUUUCCCAGGAUCCAUGUAAACAUGGAAGGAAAAAAAAAACACUUAAAAAACAUGUUCUUGGGGCUGGAGAGAUGGCUCAGUGGUUAAGAACACUGCCUACUCUUCCAGAGGACCCGGGUUCAAUUCCCAGCACCCAUGUGGCAGCUCACAACUGUCUGAAGAUCCAUUUCCAGGGGAUCUGACACCUUCAUACCAAUGCACAUAAAAUAAAAGUUAAAUAAACUAUAAGAAAUGGUUUUUUUUUUAAAUGUCCUCUAAUCUCCAUAAGUGCCGCAAUGUGCUCUUCCCCACCACACACACACCAUAAACACGAAAUCACAAUUUAAAAAAGCAAAAACCUGUGGCUGCUAUUGAUGUGUAACAUUCUACUUAUAUAUGUACUAUGUAAAUACACAUACACACAAGUGUGUGUGGUAUGUAUAAUUUCAAUUUUUGGAAACCUUUACUGUCAGCUUUGGAAAAGGCUUUAACAUGUUGGGUUGGCAUUGUGCAGAAAUUAACAUCCAUAAUUGGUAUAGAAAAGUUAAUUAUCCCAUUUGUACAGGAACAGCAUUGUAUUAAAUAUAUACAGUCUUACCUAUGUGGGUUUGAGUAAAGAAACUAAGAAAGUAGCCUCUAAAUAAUUGGGAAAAAUAAACUUAAAAAUAACAGAUUAGAAUGCUGGAGAGAUGGCUCAGCAGUUAAGAGCACUGGCUGCUCUUCUAGAGGACCCAGGUUCAAUUCCCAGCACUCACAUGGCAGCUCACGACACCCAUGGCAAAACACCAAUACACAUAAAAUAAAAGUAAAUGAUUUUUUAAAAAAGCCAAACCAUAAUGAUAAUAUACCCAAUUAACCAAAAGGUAUAAUAAUUUGAAGUUUUUGU